GACAGAGGGGGCAAGCGUUGCUCGGAAUUACUGGGCGUAAAGGGCGCGUAGGCGGGAUGGCAAGUCGGUCGUGAAAUCCCUCGGCUCAACCGAGGAACGUCGAUCGAUACUGCUGUUCUUGAGGAUUGCAGAGGAGACUGGAAUUCCCGGUGUAGCGGUGAAAUGUGUAGAGAUCGGGAGGAACACCGGUGGCGAAGGCGGGUCUCUGGGCUGACACUGACGCUGAGGCGCGAAAGCUAGGGGAGCGAACGGG
rnacentral:rRNA from 1 species